rnacentral:rRNA from 1 species
CGGACGGGUGAGUAGCACGUGGAUAACCUACCUAUAAGACUGGGAUAACUUCGGGAAACCGGAGCUAAUACCGGAUAAUAUUUUGAACCGCAUGGUUCAAAAGUGAAAGACGGUCUUGCUGUCACUUAUAGAUGGAUCCGCGCUGCAUUAGCUAGUUGGUAAGGUAACGGCUUACCAAGGCAACGAUGCAUAGCCGACCUGAGAGGGUGGUCGGCCACACUGGAACUGAGACACGGUCCAG